rnacentral:rRNA from 1 species
GACGAACGCUGGCGGCGUGCCUAAUACAUGCAAGUCGAGCGCACAGUCCGGAGUGUUUGUCCUCCGGAAUGAUAGCCGCACGCGUGAGAAUCACGCGUAUACCCUCUCCCCAUCAGUGCGAUAUCACAUUCGGACAGGAACUCUAAUACGAUAUUAACUUGCUUCUCGCGGGUGGAUAGUGGAAAAGGCUGAUCAAGCUGCCGCUUGUGGAUGGGCCUGCGCCGCAUUAGCUAGUUGGUGGGGUAACGGCCUACCAAGGCGACGAUGCGUAGCCGACCUGAGAGGGUGAUCGGCCACACUGGAACUGAGACACGGCCCAGACUCCUACGGGAGGCAGCAGUAGGGAAUCUUCCGCAAUGGACGAAAGCCUGACGGAGCAACGCCGCGUGAGUGAGGAAGGCCUUCGGGUCGUAAAGCUCUGUUGCCAGGGAAGAACGGGCAGGGGAGUAACUGCGCUUGUCAUGACGGUACCUGAUAAGAAAGCCACGGCUAACUACGUG